UCAGAACUGCCUGGCUUCGUUCUCCCCCUUGUGCCCAGGGAGCUGUUGGGCCUUCCCCCGGGACCUCUCCCCCCCCCCCGAGCAAGGACAAAGUGAGUUGAAGGUAAUGAAAAAUGACCCACCUGGUAUUUUCAGAAAGCUACCUGGGAACUAUUUACAACUGAGGAUAAGGACGUUCUUCAGGGCCUGACCUAGGACAAUGAAGUGACAAUGAAGGAGGGACUAUGCACACGCUAUAGGGCAGAAGGAACUAAUCAUCACCUGUGAUGGGGGCUCCCGAAAUUGCUUUGCCCCAGCCCCACUGAAUCCUCUGGGCGGCCCUGCCAACCGGAUCAUCCAGCCCAUAUUCUCCCCGUCCCGAG